UGGGGAAUCUUCCGCAAUGGACGAAAGUCUGACGGAGCAACGCCGCGUGAGUGAAGAAGGUUUUCGGAUCGUAAAACUCUGUCUUUUGGGGCGAACGUGAGUAUGGUGAACAAUCAUAGUCAGUGACGGUACCAAAGGAGGAAGCCACGGCUAACUACGUGCCAGCAGCCGCGGUAAUACGUAGGUGGCAAGCGUUGUCCGGAAUUAUUGGGCGUAAAGAGCGCGUAGGCGGGAUAGUCAGUCUGUUGUAAAAGUGCGGGGCUCAACCCCGUGAUGGCAAUGGAAACAGCUAUUCUUGAGUGCAGGAGAGGAAAGUGGAAUUCCCAGUGUAGCGGUGAAAUGCGUAGAUAUUGGGAGGAACACCAGUGGCGAAGGCGACUUUCUGGACUGUGUCUGACGCUGAGGCGCGAAAGCCAGGGGGAGCGAACGGGAUUAGAUACCCCGGUAGUCCUGGCCGUAAACGAUGGGUACUAGGUGUGGGAGGUAUCGACCCCCUUCCGUGCCGGAGUUAACGCAAUAAGUACCCCGCCUGGGGAGUACGGUCGCAAGACUGAAACUUAAAUGAAUUGACGGGGUCAUAGCUGUUUCC
rnacentral:rRNA from 1 species